CCUACGGGAGGCAGCAGUGGGGAAUUUUGGACAAUGGGCGCAAGCCUGAUCCAGCAAUGCCGCGUGAGUGAAGAAGGCCUUCGGGUUGUAAAGCUCUUUUGUCAGGGAAGAAACGGUGGGGGCUAAUAUCUCCUACUAAUGACGGUACCUGAAGAAUAAGCACCGGCUAACUACGUGCCAGCAGCCGCGGUAAUACGUAGGGUGCAAGCGUUAAUCGGAAUUACUGGGCGUAAAGCGUGCGCAGGCGGUUUUGUAAGUCUGUCGUGAAAGCCCCGGGCUCAACCUGGGAAUUGCGAUGGAGACUGCAAGGCUUGAAUCUGGCAGAGGGGGGUAGAAUUCCACGUGUAGCAGUGAAAUGCGUAGAGAUGUGGAGGAACACCGAUGGCGAAGGCAGCCCCCUGGGUCAAGAUUGACGCUCAUGCACGAAAGCGUGGGGAGCAAACAGGAUUAGAUACCCUGGUAGUCCACGCCCUAAAACGAUGUCUACUAGUUGUCGGGUUUUAAUUAACUUGGUAACGCAGCUAACGCGUGAAGUAGACCGCCUGGGGAUACGGUCGCAAGAUUAAAACUCAAAAGGAAUUGACGG
rnacentral:rRNA from 1 species